rnacentral:misc_RNA from 1 species
UUUUUUUUUUUUUUAAUUUGCUUUCUUUGUAUUUUGAUUUUUCAAAUCAAUUCAAUCAAUGGUGAUGAUGGUUUACAAAAUAUGAUUGAGGUUGUUGAAAAAAAAGUUACCAGUCCACCCUGAGUGAAUCAAAAUCAAAAGGUUAAAUUUUAUAAAAUGAAGUGAAAGAACAGUAGGCUACACAUAAAAUUCUCAGUGCUCCAAAAUCUUGAUCUUUUCAAGACAAUUUUGCAUGUGCUUAGUAACAUCCUCUGAAAGACGGUCUCCAACCACAAGCUUGUACUGUUCAAAUUUGAGUUCAUCACACUUUAAGGCAGCACUUUUGCAGGCCUUGAUACUCCCACUUAAGUCCAAUAAGUUGAAUAACACUGGGCAAUUUCCAAUACUCCUAACCAUGGUAAUUGCAGACCAAACCUUCUGGUACUCCUCCCGUGAGGUUCUGAUAAUACACAGCUUUGUGAUGGGAUUCACAUACUUUACUUGUAAUGAUCCAAGUGAUGAAGCCAAACCACACUCCCCAUAGUUUACAAGAAUGCUAUCUUUUAUUGCUUUUGCUACAUUAAAUUGUGUGAUUAUGAUAGGGUCAUCCCCCACAAGGUCACGAUUUGGAUCCAAGAAAACUUCCAUUACCAAGUACCUGUUUUUAAAUCCCACCAUGAUCCUUUACCUAUAAUGUGAACCCAAACAAAGUAAAUCAGCAUGAUGAAGGUUAUUUUUUCAACCUUAUUCAAAACUAUAAGGCAUUCUCCAAAAGCAAGUUCCAAGUGGGACAAAGCCCCAUUCCCCCAAGGGAUGGCAGUGGGUAGAGUGUACCCAUGAAAAUUGCCUACCUGUUCCCAACCCAAUGAAUAAUCCUGAUAUCCACACUUGUCCCCCAUCCCAACCCUAAUUAGAAUUCCUCCCUUGCCAUACCCAUCCCACAUUAGAAUACUAAUAGUAAAUCCGAAGAAUAAAUAACAAUGUAAUUAUUAUGAUUGCUUCCUAGUAAAACUCAGAAAUUUCCAUUUUAAUUGUAAUGGAUAAAUCAUUUAAUUGUGUAUUUCUUACAUAAUUCAUGAGACUUGUAAAAAGAAUAUAACAAUAUAUUAAUUUAUAAGGGAAUUGCUCAUCAGUCCAAAUGCAAAAUAUUCCAAUCUGCAGAUGCAAGUGCAUUUUCUUUCUUAUGCAACACGUGAAGAGGAUCAUCAAGGUGAAUAAACUGAGGCUUUUUGCAUGUAUAUAAGUUAAGCUUAACAGAAACAACAUCCAGAGCAAAUAAACAAAAGAAAGCAAAUUUAGUUACAGUUGUGAAACUACUCAUCAAGUUAAACCUUCAUUUUGAUCAGGAUCAAUGCAAGUAUAGAGGAUUACUGUCUUCAGCACAUUCCCAAACCGACUCCAAUAAAAGAAAAUAUAUAUAAAACAAAAACUCUAUUUUCGUCGUCCGCAAAUUAAUCUAAAACAAGUUUCAAAAGCUCAACCUAAAUGAAUCAAAACCCCCCCUCUUACUUCUAUUUGCACAAUUUUAUACUCAUAAAAUCUAAACAAAUCAUAUUCAAAAACAGAACCCAGAUAACCAAAAAGAAAGUUCGUGAGAAUUUACCUCAGCUUAUGGAGUUAAACGAAUCGUAUUCAAAAACAGAACCCAGCUAAACAAAAUAUUUAGUUUAGAGAGUUAUACCUGAGCUUAUUUAUAUUCAAAUUGGGGAAAUUAUCGAAUGUCUCUCGAACUUCCUUCCUUCGAUUGGUCAGUUAAGAUAGUGAAACUCUAAAGAGAACGGCUUGGGAAGCGAGGGAGAGCACUAAGUAGCUACCUUGGGCUCCUUGAGUUCAAUACUUCAAUCUAAACAAAGACAAUAACACCAUGACUAGAGAAACUUGAAGAUUAUGGGAAACAAAAAAUAGAAAUAACACCCAUAAAUUAAUUGGAAAUCAAUAGCAAUGAUAACUAUAACAGCCGACCAAGGCUUUCAUAAAAUUCAACAAAAAUUCAAUUAUCUCACUCAAAAACAGAUAAAAUCUCGGCAGUCGUUCCAUAACCAAAAUCACACACAUUAAUGUGCUCACAGCAAAUUCAAAGCAGAAAAUAAAUAAAUAAAUAAUAAAUCCAGAUAAGAGAAGAUAACAAAGAAGAGAAUAAGAAAUAAAAGGAAUCACUUGGUUUGGGAAACAGACGAAACAAGAGCGACUAGAACCCUAGAAGAGAUCUCACAAGGUGAAGGAAAAAGGAGCACGACUGUGAAGUUUUGAUGAUAGUGAUGCAAGAGCAUUGAGCGGUUCGGUUCCUGUUUGGAAUCUGGGCAGGAAUUGGAGUUAGAAUCGAAAUUUUGAUACGAUUUUACUUCGAUCCUUUGUUGUUUCGGUUUG